UGUCAAAGUCUUUAAAGUUGAUUAUCAGUUGUCUCUUCUAUUCUGUGCACUGCUCGAUAGUGUUUCGUAGCACAAAUGUCGUGGUAACAAUUCUUUUCCUUCCGUUCUGAGUUUGUUGUCAAUUACUGUGUUUGACUAUCUAGUAAUAUUUCGCUAAAAAUUUUACUUGGGACUGUUAAUAAGGUGAUUCCUCUUCAGUUAUUGCAGAUUGUGAGAUCAUCAUUUUUUAGGCAGUUGUGUGAUGUUACCUUCUGACCUUCUGCCAAAUCUUUUAAAAUGGUGUGUGUAGAAUGUGCGCUGGAUCUGAUUUAAAUAGUUCUGCUGAUAAUUUAUGGUUUCCGGGAGGGGGGUAUUGUUUGUAAGGCUCUUUUCUGUUCUAGAAAUCUUUGAUUUUGAUGGAAUUUCUAUGUUUACUUCAAGGUCAUAUUAAGCGAUGGGUAUGUUUGCUGUUGUUUCUGGUUGAUUUUUAAAAAAAUACUUCCUUGAAAUGUUCAUUCCAUUUACUCUAUUUU
rnacentral:lncRNA from 1 species